AUCGAACGCUGGCGGCAGGCCUAACACAUGCAAGUCGAACGAGUGGCGGACGGGUGAGUAAUGUCUGGGAAACUGCCUGAUGGAGGGGGAUAACUACUGGAAACGGUAGCUAAUACCGCAUACUAUCGGAUGUGCCCCGAUGGGCUUAGCUAGUAGGUGGGGUAAAGGUUCACCUCGGCGACGAUCCCUGGCGGGUCUGAGAGGAUGACCAGCCACACUGGAACUGAGACACGGUCCAGACUCCUACGGGAGGCAGCAGUGGGGAAUAUUGCACAAUGGGCGCAAGCCUGAUGCAGCCAUUCCGCGUGUAUGAAGAAGGCCUUCGGGUUGUAAAGUACUUUCAGCGGGGAGGCGUUACCCGCAGAAGAAGCACCGGCUAACUCCGUGCCAGCAGCCGCGGUAAUAC
rnacentral:rRNA from 1 species